rnacentral:tRNA from 1 species
GAGAACGUGGUGUAGCCGGAUAACAUCUCAGUUAAUAAAACUGAAGAUUGAGGGUUCAAAUCCCUCCGUUUUCG